CUUUUGUGGAGUUUUCCCUGUAAGCCUAGAUCUUCAGAGAUUGGUCCAACAUCUUGGCAGAUCUGAGAGUGUGGUGAUGUGGAUGAAAGCUAAAUGGUGAUGACCCUGGCAGUGCUGGCUGAGAUAAGAACACGUGGAUCAUCCUGUUCUUGAAGAAGUUUGUGUCACAUCUGUAAGCAGAGCAUCUCAACAGCCAAGCUAGAGGUCAUGCUUUUCAAACUGCCAAGAAUGUUCACAGUGAACGCCUGUGAAGUCUGCUGCAAGUGAUGUGCAAUGCUUUCUGCCCCACAGCAACUACUUGCAUUUAUGAAAUAGAGAGAGUUCUGAAGGUAAUUAAGUGAGAGAUGGACUAAAACAGCAAAAAUGUGCUGCUAUAGGGUGUCCUGGAGUCCAAGUUACUCUUCAGCAUUGCUUAAUGAGAGCCUGGGACAGAAAAUAACUUAGAGAAAGAAUCAGCCAAGGGGAUCUCUUGUUUCAGUUUGUUUAAACUGAAAAACAAAAUAUUGGUAGUUUUGUUUCUUGUGAAGCCUUUGUUCACCUGCAAGGUUCCACUUUCAAGUAUAAAGCAUAAAGGUGUUACAAUACCAAUUUGUUCAGUCUUAUUUCAGCAAUGUCCAAAUAGGGACAUCUUUUCUUGCUCCAGCAAUACCCGCUGAGAUUAAAUUAUCUUCAGUGUUAAUUCUUCCUCCUCUUUCCCUAUGCUUUUCAUAAACAACAAUAUUUUUUUGGAAUUGUCUUAAUUUCUUAUGAUUGUUGAAGAACAGCGGCAUCUCCUGUCUUUCUCUUGUACAGGUCUAGUAGCUAUUGCUAAUUUGAAUGUAUGUAUAUAUAAUGCAAUGGAAAGUACAGUAAUGAC